rnacentral:rRNA from 1 species
UAUCUGGCCUGCAUUCAGCCGCGCCCCGCUGGCGUCAGGGAUGCCGCUCUCCAGAUUGGGACGGUGGUCUGACUGCUCGGUGGGUUCCGUGGUGCAUUUGCAGGUGGAGUGCGCCGAGGCGUUCGGUGCAGCGGCAUGAGCUUGGCUUUGAGGCCAGCCUCGCAAGAGGUCUGGUACCCGGGCCAGGGGAGUGCUGUUUGCGCUGGGCGCAGCAAAGGGCAAUGGUCUCGGGCUCGUGUGGGUGCCGAGCUGGCGGUCGGCGUCGGUCGCGUGCGACACGUGCCAUCAGUCAGUUCGGUCCUGCUCGAGCUCACAUCUGCUCGACCUCGGUGUAAAAGCCGGUCAUCUGUCCGACCCGUCUUGAAACACGGACCAAGGAGUUUAGCGUGUGCGCGAGUCAUUGGGCGUUGAAAACCCAAAGGCGCAAUGAAAGUGAAUGCCUCCCUUGCGGAGCUGAUGUGUGAUCCUGGAUGCCUCGGCAUACUGGGCGCAACAUAGUCCCGUCCCGAUUGCUUGCAAUGGGGCGGAGACAGAGCGUACGCGCUGAG